rnacentral:rRNA from 1 species
UGGGGAAUUUUGGACAAUGGGCGAAAGCCUGAUCCAGCAAUGCCGCGUGUGUGAAGAAGGCCUUCGGGUUGUAAGCACUUUUGUCCGGAAAGAAAUCCUUGGCUCUAAUACAGUCGGGGGAUGACGGUACCGGAAGAAUAAGCACCGGCUAACUACGUGCCAGCAGCCGCGGCAAUACGUAGGGUGCAAGCGUUAAUCGGAAUUACUGGGCGUAAAGCGUGCGCAGGCGGUUUGCUAAGACCGAUGUGAAAUCCCCGGGCUCAACCUGGGAACUGCAUUGGUGACUGGCAGGCUAGAGUAUGGCAGAGGGGGGUAGAAUUCCACGUGUAGCAGUGAAAUGCGUAGAGAUGUGGAGGAAUACCGAUGGCGAAGGCAGCCCCCUGGGCCAAUACUGACGCUCAUGCACGAAAGCGUGGGGAGCAAACAGGAUUAGAUACCCUGGUAGUCCACGCCCUAAACGAUGUCAACUAGUUGUUGGGGAUUCAUUUCCUUAGUAACGUAGCUAACGCGUGAAGUUGACCGCCUGGGGGAGUACGGUCGC